AGUGAACGCUGGCGGUAGGCCUAACACAUGCAAGUCGAACGGCAGCACAGUAAGAGCUUGCUCUUACGGGUGGCGAGUGGCGGACGGGUGAGGAAUACAUCGGAAUCUACUUUUUCGUGGGGGAUAACGUAGGGAAACUUACGCUAAUACCGCAUACGACCUACGGGUGAAAGCAGGGGAUCUUCGGACCUUGCGCGAUUGAAUGAGCCGAUGUCGGAUUAGUUAGUUGGCGGGGUAAAGGCCCACCAAGGCGACGAUCCGUAGCUGGUCUGAGAGGAUGAUCAGCCACACUGGAACUGAGACACGGUCCAGACUCCUACGGUAGGCAGCAGUGGGGAAUAUUGGACAAUGGGCGCAAGCCUGAUCCAGCCAUACCGCGUGGGUGAAGAAGGCCUUCGGGUUGUAAAGCCCUUUUGUUGGGAAAGAAAAGCAGCAGGUUAAUACCCCGCUGUUCUGACGGUACCCAAAGAAUAAGCACCGGCUAACUUCGUG
rnacentral:rRNA from 1 species